GAGACACCCUUAUGGGGCAGGACUUGCUUCAGUGGGGCUUUGGUGCUCACUGAGUCUGCCUCUGGAGUGUGUCACU
rfam:Myotis lucifugus cont2.32151, whole genome shotgun sequence.